rnacentral:rRNA from 1 species
GACGAACGCUGGCGGCGUGCUUAACACAUGCAAGUCGAACGGAAAGGCCCUGCUUUUGUGGGGUGCUCGAGUGGCGAACGGGUGAGUAACACGUGAGUAACCUGCCCUUGACUUUGGGAUAACUUCAGGAAACUGGGGCUAAUACCGGAUAGGAGCUCCUGCUGCAUGGUGGGGGUUGGAAAGUUUCGGCGGUUGGGGAUGGACUCGCGGCUUAUCAGCUUGUUGGUGGGGUAGUGGCUUACCAAGGCUUUGACGGGUAGCCGGCCUGAGAGGGUGACCGGCCACAUUGGGACUGAGGUACCGGCCAGACUCCUACGGGAGGCAGCAGUGGGGAAUAUUGCACAAUGGGCGGAAGCCUGAUGCAGCAACGCCGCGUGCGGGAUGACGGCCUUCGGGUUGUAAACCACUUUCGCCUGUGACGAAGCGUGAGUGACGGUAAUGGGUAAAGAAGCACCGGCUAACUACGUG